AGCGAACGCUGGCGGCAGGCCUAACACAUGCAAGUCGAACGAAGUCUUCGGACUUAGUGGCGGACGGGUGAGUAACACGUGGGAACGUACCUUUUGGUUCGGAAUAACUGAGGGAAACUUCAGCUAAUACCGGAUAAGCUCUUCGGAGGAAAGAUUUAUCGCCAUUAGAGCGGCCCGCGUUGGAUUAGGUAGUUGGUGUGGUAAAGGCGCACCAAGCCUACGAUCCAUAGCUGGUCUGAGAGGAUGAUCAGCCACACUGGGACUGAGACACGACCCAGACUCCUACGGGAGGCAGCAGUGGGGAAUCUUGCGCAAUGGUCGAAAGACUGACGCAGCCAUGCCGCGUGAAUGAUGAAGGUCUUAGGAUUGUAAAGUCCUUUUAGCAGGGACGAUAAUGACGGUACCUGCAGAAAAAGCCCCGGCUAACUUCGUGCCAGCCGCCGCCGUAA
rnacentral:rRNA from 1 species